rnacentral:rRNA from 1 species
CGCCUGAGGAGUACGGCCGCAAGGCUAAAACUUAAAGGAAUUGACGGGGACCCGCACAAGCGGUGGAGCAUGUGGUUUAAUUCGAAGAUACGCGAAAAACCUUACCAGGUCUUGACAUACCAAUGAUCGCUUUUGUAAUGAAAGCUUUUCUUCGGAACAUUGGAUACAGGUGGUGCAUGGUCGUCGUCAGCUCGUGUCGUGAGAUGUUGGGUUAAGUCCCGCAACGAGCGCAACCCUUGUUAUUAGUUGCCAGCAUUUAGUUGGGCACUCUAAUGAGACUGCCGGUGAUAAACCGGAGG